rnacentral:rRNA from 1 species
GGACAUCAGGAGGUUAGUGCAAUGGCAUAAGCCAGCUUGACUGCGAGCGUGACGGCGCGAGCAGGUGCGAAAGCAGGUCAUAGUGAUCCGGUGGUUCUGAAUGGAAGGGCCAUCGCUCAACGGAUAAAAGGUACUCCGGGGAUAACAGGCUGAUACCGCCCAAGAGUUCAUAUCGACGGCGGUGUUUGGCACCUCGAUGUCGGCUCAUCACAUCCUGGGGCUGAAGUAGGUCCCAAGGGUAUGGCUGUUCGCCAUUUAAAGUGGUACGCGAGCUGGGUUUAGAACGUCGUGAGACAGUUCGGUCCCUAUCUGCCGUGGGCGCUGGAGAACUGAGGGGGGCUGCUCCUAGUACGAGAGGACCGGAGUGGACGCAUCACUGGUGUUCGGGUUGUCAUGCCAAUGGCACUGCCCGGUAGCUAAAUGCGGAAGAGAUAAGUGCUGAAAGCAUCUAAGCACGAAACUUGCCCCGAGAUGAGUUCUCCCUGACUCCUUGAGAGUCCUGAAGGAACGUUGAAGACGACGACGUUGAUAGGCCGGGU